UAGAUCAACGAUGACAGCUGGUGGCAUAUGAGUCAUAUCUGAUGACUGCUCUGUGUUUGGAACUCAGAUCUGA
ensembl:snoRNA